rnacentral:rRNA from 1 species
GACGAACGCUGGCGGCGUGCUUAACACAUGCAAGUCGAACGGUAAGGCCCUUCGGGGUACACGAGUGGCGAACGGGUGAGUAACACGUGGGUGAUCUGCCCUGCACUUCGGGAUAAGCCUGGGAAACUGGGUCUAAUACCGGAUAGGACCACUGCCCGCAUGGGCGGUGGUGGAAAGCUUGUGCGGUGUGGGAUGGGCCCGCGGCCGAUCAGCUUGUUGGUGGGGUGAUGGCCUACCAAGGCGACGACGGGUAGCCGGCCUGAGAGGGUGACCGGCCACACUGGGACUGAGAUACGGCGCAGACUCCUACGGGAGGCAGCAGUGGGGAAUAUUGCACAAUGGGCGCAAGCCUGGUGCAGCGACGCCGCGUGAGGGAUGUCGGCCUUCGGGUUGUAAACCUCUUUCAGCGCCGACGAAGCGCAAGUGACGGUAGGUGCAGAAGAAGGACCGGCCAACUACGUGCCAGCCGCCGCAGUAA